CUAUCAGGAACCAGGGUUAUCUGGUAUAUUUGCUCUGCUCUUCCCUGGCACCUCUCAGUUGCUCCUGCCUGAGCAUGCUCCUCUUUUCCAUCUGUGUUGUUUUUUACCCCAGCAUACUGUUGGAAGGGUUGCUCAGAAGGCAUUUGACUGAAGGGUACUUGGAAAGACCAAACCCAAACCACAGUAGUGACCAGAUACUUAGUGGCAGCCCCAGCUGCAGGAGGCAGCUGUAUGGAGGCCAAUAUGCAGACAAGGGAAGUAACUCAGGCAUUUUGGGGGAGAGGUACAGAAAGAAGAGAAAAGACUGAACUGACUGCUGUUCUGAACAAGAACUGUGACUAUAUGUGGUACUCCCAGAAUGCUGGUUUCCUUUCAGACCCAUCAAGUGGCCGUCCUAUUGGCUUGGACUGAAGACCCCCUCUGGAGAACUGUCUCUGCAGCCUAUACUGAUGACACUGGCCACUGUCCAGGGCUCCACCCCAAGGAGUCCAAGCCCCAGACAUUUAGCCUUAGAGAGAAUCCAGAUUUUGCAUUUCCAGUGCAGGGAUUGAUGGAGCCUUGUGUAUCAAAGUGCCAAUUUCUUUCUAACAAGCUGGGGAGGAUACCGUUGACAGCAGCAGAAAGGGGUAGCAGUGGUUUGCUUUCCAAAUGGUAAUAAGAAGGUCCUGGCAGUGGCACCCUGUCCACGUAUCAUUAAAAAUGGACUCUCCUGCUUCGUUUGGAAUUCAACCCAAUGAACUUGAAUAAACUCUGGACAAUGACCAGCACAGAGCCCUGAGCAGGAUACAGCAAGAUUAUUUGCUUUACUCAUCUACUGAGUACCUACCAUGUGCCAAAUACUAUGCUAUAUACCGAGUGUACACUGGCAAAUAAAACAGAUAUGGUCCCUGGAGCCUAUGAAUCUUACCAUCUAGCCACAAAUAAUAAAAAUAAGAAGAAUCUGAAGGACAACUGGGACAGAAAUACUCAAGCAGAAUGAGGGUGAGAUUGAAGUCCCUGAACAUACAGUGCCCUUUACAUUUGAUCUUAGCCAAAAGGCCGAAAGAGAUUACAGUGCUUUUUAAAGGUAGCAUUUCACCCAGCCAAUAAUCAAUCCCUUUGUCCUUCUUGAGGUGCAAGGCCACACACUCAAAUUCUUUAAUCAAACAAUAGGCUAGUGCAAAUGGAGCUAUUUCUUAAACCCAGCUGUUUACACAGCAGCUACAAAUCUGUUCAGAAAGAAUCCCCCACCAUCCACAACUGUCUAUCGAGCAGAUGUGCAAGAGUAUUUGUCUCUCACCACCAGGGUUGCAGUCAGGACAAGAGAGCAGGUUUGAAUGUCUUCGGCUCCUAGAACUUCACAAGCUGUGUCUUCAGUGCCCAGAGGCGGCUGCAACCUCUCCCCAGUUCUCCUCUCAGAACAACGGAAAUUUUUUUUAGAGGCGUAAUAAGGAAGGUUUGCAUUGAAUUAUUAAACAAUGGGUAUUGAAAAAUAUGUUUUCUUUGACCUCUGUACUUCUAGCUUUUACCAGUCAGUGUUUUCUUGUAACAAGGCUAAGAUAUGUAUAACACUGAAAUGGAUGUCUUCUUAUAUAAUAUUUUACAAGCUUUUGAAAACCUGUGCCCUUUAAUAAAUUUUAAAACGUCUCAUGCCCUUCUUUCAUUUUCUGAAAUUCAAAAUAAAUUAAAUAUCAGGGGACACAAAAGCACAAGAAGAAAGCACUGCUUUGUUUUCAAAUCAGGCCCCAAGCCACUGCCCUUGAGAUUCUUG
ensembl:lincRNA